rnacentral:misc_RNA from 1 species
GAUGAAGAACGCAGUGAAAUGCGAUAAGUAAUGUGAAUUGCAGAAUUCAGUGAAUCAUCGAAUCUUUGAACGCACAUUGCGCCCGCUGGUAUUCCGAGGGGCAUGCCUGUUCGAGCGUCAUUUCAACCCUCAAGCACAGCUUGGUCUUGGGCUUCGCCGCUAACCCGGCGGGUCUUAAAAUCAGUGGCGGUGCCGUCGGGCCCUGAGCGCAGUAAUCUCUCUCGCUAUAGGGUCCCGGCGGAUGCUGGCCAGUAACCCCCAAUUUUCUAUGGUUGACCUCGGAUCAGGUAGGGAUACCCGCUGAACUUAAGCAUAUCAAUAAGCGGAGGA